ensembl:snoRNA
AACUGGAGUGAUGAAAACUAUGCCUUAGGUGGGUGCUGAAGACUGUUUUGGUUUUCAUCACACUCACCGAUGCAAGGGGUUGUCAUAGUUACACUGACCAUUU